rnacentral:rRNA from 1 species
UGGGGAAUCUUGCACAAUGGGCGAAAGCCUGAUGCAGCAACGCCGCGUGCGGGAAGAAGGCCCUCGGGUUGUAAACCGCUUUCAGAAGGAACGAAACUGACGGUACCUUCAGAAGAAGGUGCGGCCAACUACGUGCCAGCAGCCGCGGUGACACGUAGGCACCAAGCGUUGUCCGGAUUUAUUGGGCGUAAAGAGCUCGUAGGCGGUUCAGUAAGUCGGGUGUGAAAACUUUGGGCUUAACCCAAAGCGUGCAUCUGAUACUGCUGUGACUUGAGUACGGUAGGGGAGCGGGGAAUUCCUAGUGUAGCGGUGAAAUGCGCAGAUAUUAGGAGGAACACCGGUGGCGAAGGCGCCGCUCUGGGCCGAAACUGACGCUGAGGAGCGAAAGCAUGGGUAGCAAACAGGAUUAGAUACCCACGUAGUCCCUGAGCGGGCUGGCAAGGCGCAU